AUCGUACCCCAAACCGACACAGGUGGUCAGGUAGAGAAUACCAAGGCGCUUGAGAGAACUCGGGUGAAGGAACUAGGCAAAAUGGUGCCGUAACUUCGGGAGAAGGCACGCUGAUAUGUAGGUGAAGCCCCUGCGGGUGGAGCUGAAAUCAGUCGAAGAUACCAGCUGGCUGCAACUGUUUAUUAAAAACACAGCACUGUGCAAACACGAAAGUGGACGUAUACGGUGUGACGCCUGCCCGGUG
rnacentral:rRNA from 1 species